GGUCUAUUAGCUCAAAUGGGUAGAGUGUUGUGUUAAUAACCUGAAAAUCACAGGGUCAACUCCUGCUUGGACCA
rnacentral:tRNA from 1 species